rnacentral:rRNA from 1 species
AUGACUCCAACUAAGCAACACCACCUCCAUGCUCUCCUGCUCCUCCUCAUAUGCUCCUACUCCAUAGAUGCUGCAGCCAAGCAUAAUGCCGCCGUCCCUUGCCACCCAGAUCAAGCUUCUUCCCUGCUCCAGUUGAAACAGUCCUUCAUCGACGUCGAUGCAAGCUUGGCUUCAUGGCGAGCUGGAAGUGACUGCUGUCACUGGGAGGGCGUCGCCUGUGAUGUGUCCUCGGGGAGAGUCGUUUCCCUAGACCUUGGUGGGUAUAACUUGGUGAGCCGUCGUCUUGACCCAGCAAUCUUCAACCUCACAUCUCUGCGGAACCUCAGCCUUGCGUACAAUGACUUCGGCGCCGCCAACCUCCCAUCUUAUGGGUUCGAGCACUUGACAAAUAUCAUCCAUCUCAACUUCUCCCUUACCAAUUUUUUUGGCCAGAUUCCCAUUGGAAUUGCUCGGCUCAAGAACCUUGUCACUCUUGAUUUUUCUGAUAAUUAUGGCUUAUAUAUGCAAGAGCCAAACUUCCAGACCUUCAUGGCAAAUCUAAGCUAUCUGAGAGAACUCCGCCUUGAUGGAGUGGACAUCUCCACCAGCGGAUCAAAUUGGUCCAUUGUUCUGGCGGACUCUGUUCCUCAGCUGCAAAUUCUUAGCUUGUUUCUGUGCGGCAAAAUUCCAAAAUCUUUGUUCGCUCUUCCAGCGUUGCAUACACUUAUGUUAAGUUCAAAUCAACUUUCUGGUGCUCUGGAAGAAAUUCCUGCCCCGUGGUCUUCAAGCUUAUCUUCUAUUUGGUUAGACCACAAUGAUCUCACGGGUGCAAUACCCAAAUCAUUCUUUCAUCUUAAUCAUCUCAAAGAUCUCUACCUUGGCUCAAAUAGAUUAGCAGGCACAAUUACACUUAGCUCUUUUUGGAGGUUGAAGAGCCUUAGUUCACUAAGUUUGUCCUAUAACAUGCUAUCAAUUGUGGACGAAGAAGAUGACACUAUAUUAACCUCUCUCCCUAACGUCAACUACCUAGAACUUGCAUCUUGCAACCUCACCAAAAUUCCUCGAGCACUGAGAUAUCUAGGUGGAGUUAUAAGCCUCGACCUUUCUAAUAAUCAAAUUAAUGGGGUUAUACCAAGUUGGGACCUAGAGCUUUUUGAUGUUGGCAAUAAUCAGAUUGUCGGUUCUUUUCCAUCUUGGUUGGGUGCUCUUCCACAGCUUCGAGUUCUUGUAUUAAGAUCCAACCAACUCAAUGGUACAAUAUGGGAUAUUAAAGCUGACCGUACAAUCAAUAAAUACUUCUCAACUUUGCAAAUACUUGAUUUGGCCUCCAACAACUUCUCUGGAAACGUACCAAAAGGAUGGUUUAAUGAACUGAAUGCAAUGAUGGAAAAUGUCAAUGAUGAGGGACAGGUUGUAGGGCAGCAAACAAACCUGCCAAAUGGAUUCUAUCAAGAUACUGUCACUGUGACAUUCAAAGAUCUCAAGCUUAUUUUCACCAAGAUAUUGACCACUUUCAAAGUGAUUGAUUUUUCACAUAACUCGUUUGAUGGUUCUAUUCCGGAGUCAAUUGGGAGGCUUGCUUCACUGCAUGGACUCAACAUGUCAUACAAUAACUUCACGGGGCAAAUCCCAUCUCAGUUCAGCAACUUGUCUCAGCUGGAGUCAUUGGAUCUAUCUCGGAACCAUAUCACAGGGGAAAUACCACAUGAGUUAACCUCACUUACCUCCCUUGGAUGUCUGGAUCUUUCAUACAACAACUUGUCUGGAAGAAUCCCGCAAGGCAACCAGUUCUCAACAUUUUCUGACAAUUCAUUUGAAGGCAAUGCAGACCUCUGUGGAGUUCCACUCUCCAAAGAAUGUGAAAGUCAAAACUCAGUUUCUCCAAGUGAAGUGGCUCCUCCAGAAUAUGAAAGCUUGUGGCAGGACAAACUCGGUGUUAUCCUUUUGUUUGCUUUUGUUGGCUUGGGAUUUGGAGUCGGCUUUGCAUUGGCAUUCUUGUUGCGGAUGUAUUGUGGUAUGGAAGGAUGGGUCAGCAAGCAAUCAUGA